rnacentral:lncRNA from 1 species
CUUGAAGAAAUCAAGAAUCUUUCUCGAUCCUUCAACUAAUCAAGAAGAACAACAAUCAAAAAGUGGUUAUAUCUAACUUUCAACAAACUUGAGAGUAAAGGGAACAAGAAACAAAGUAAGUAGUGCCAAUAAUUAGAACCACUCCCUUAGAUGCUGCCCAUCCUCUCUAUGGCACCAAUGGAGGAUGGCUAAAGAGAGAUGAGAUGUGGGCU